rnacentral:lncRNA from 1 species
GUUAAUGCUCCCAAACUCAAACUAGCUGCUUUUAAACUAACUUGAACUAAAUUUGCUCACUCAAGUGAUUUGGUAUUUUGAGAAGAGUUGAACUGUGGGGAUUAACUACAUGAGAUAUAGCGCCAGCUGAACUUGUUUCUACAACUGUUGAAAACACAAAUCACUGCUUAGGAACUAAACUACUGAACUAACCUACUGAAACGCACUGUUGAAAACAAUUAAAUGUUCAACUCUCACGAAUCUGAGAAACCACAGUUAUACAGUCUAGUUAUGUACCCAUGGAAGCCCAUUGAAAUUCUACGUUAUACUAGUAGCAUCAGCUGAACCAAACUAAAUUGCCAAAACACAGGAAUAUACAUAAUUAGUUCAACAGUCUAUUAUUUAACAGUCCAUUCAAAUCACAAAAAACAACUAUCUAAAAUGAGACAGAAUUACUAAAACUUCACAUCCACAGCAGCAAAUCAGCCUCAAUUUCAUUUCACGUUUUAACAUGGCUACAUCAACAAAGUCACAAAAUGUGUAUCUGGAGAUGAGAAAAGGAAUAGGAACUGAGAGUAGUCAGCAGAAGCCAAGCAACUGAAACUCAAGCAGCAAUCAAACAGUCAGUUCCAACCCAGACAUGAACCAAAGAGUGUAGAAAUGUUCCAAAUCGAGUAGGAUUGAUAGAUCAACCCAGAACAACACCAAAAUCACUCAAGUAAACUAGAAAAUGGAUCCAGAACCAACUUGAAAUCAUUCUAAUGAACUUCUGAAGUUUCAGAACCCAAAUAUUGACUGGAAAUCAAUAACUAAAAAUUGAAAUUAGCAUGAAUUCUCUAAUGGAAUAGGUCUAUAUUGCUUUGCUUUUUGAAGGUUUUUCUAUUGUUUUUGGGGUUUUGGAGUUAGAAUUUCAAUCCUAGAUCUGAAACUUGGAAAACACACUUUGGGGUGAAUUUUGAUGCCUUUUUAUAGGCAAAGAUAAGGUGCAGGUCAGAUUUUCAAUUUUCUUUUCUAGUCUCUAUUCAUUUUCACCAUUAGUCAUUUAUUUUUUAACUUUUUACCCAAGCUAGUACCCUAAGUUUAUUGAAAUAUGUACUGAAGUUCUACUUUAGAAGAUUCUAGGGCCUUCUAUUCUAAUCUACAGCUUUCAUGUUCAAUUUCAAUUACCUAAACUGCCCCUGAACUUAUUUUGAAAUUACUAUACUAACUCUUCAAGUUCCCUUACCUUAGGUGAACUUAACUAUGGUUAACAAAAUCCUAAAUCCAAACUAACUACUGAACUUUAAAUCCCCAAUUCCUAUCAACAAAUAAAACAACUCAUCAAAUGACCAUCAUAAAUUCAAUAUAAAAUCAGAUUGAACCAUAUUAAGCAAUUAAAGAACAAUUAAACCAAUUAAUGAGCCAUUAUUGGUAACUAAAUCAAGGCUAAACGAGAAUUGAACCUAUCAACUUCCAUUAUUUAAAGCAACAUCAAUCCAAACAUCAGAAAUCUAAACUAAAUUAAACACUGAACAACACUAAUAGUUAACAGAAAUUGGAAAGACAAUCCAAAUGAGAAUAUUAAACAUAGAAGAUAAAACAGAAUCCAAGUCCAUUAAUGACACAAAGAAAAAUAGGAAAACAAAAAGAAAAAACUCUGAGGAACUCACUGGUAUAAGUUUUGACCCACUUCAACAAUAUUCAAUGGCUAUUGACGAUGGAUUCGUCAUGAGAGGAAUGAGAAUGCUACGAGGUAUAAAUUUGAAGCCGAGUGGGUGAACUAGGGCUCUGCCGAAAUCUUCGAUUUGAUAUUUGGAGACGCUGACGGGGAUUCGAUGAACAACAGUCGUGGAUCCGAGGUGACGAGAGUGAGGAGGUCUAGGGGUGUUAUUUUGGUGGGAUUUGGAGACGGGCGCCGCCGUGCAUGGUGGUGGCGGCGCUAGGGUUUGAUUUAUUCGAGGUGUUAGGGUAAGAUUUGGAGGGAAUCAAUAUUGGAUAUGGAACAGGGAGGCGAAGGAGAAGGCGUGGUUUAAUUUUGGCGAGACUUGGACACCGUCCGCCGCCGCGAGGCGAUUCCCGGCGGCAGAGUUGGGGCGCAGCCGACGAAGGACAACAAAUACGAGGAAGGAGAAGGAUGGUCUCUAGGUUUUCAAGAAGAUUUAGGACACUUUUAAUUAAUGUGAAGGAUCAAACUAAGCUGUUGGAUUAAAGAGAUGAAGGACUCAGAUUACUUUACCAAAACGCACCACUUUGCGCAUCUUGGACCGGCCUGGGUUGGGUAACAAUUGGGCCUGGCGUGGUUUUGGC